rnacentral:lncRNA from 1 species
CCAGAUGUCCGAAUUCGUUAUUUAUACAGAGGACUGAGAUAGAGCUCUCACAGUUGCCAACCUACUGGAGGAGUAAGCUCUUAACUUGGAUAUUCGUUGCAAUUGACCUAACAGAGGACAAAUGAAUUCACCAUACCACCUACGUACCACCCCAAGCCUUUUAAAAGAAACGGGACUUUCCUGAGCCAUAGGUCUAACAUGAAUACCGAGUACCUUAUUUCUCAUUUUACAUAGGAGUAUCGUGUUUUAUAGUAUCCAAUACCAUUUCGUGUAUUACUUGUGGUGUGUCUCUACUCUCUACAGAACAAGGAUCUGAAUUUGAUAGGCAUAAGCAUGUGCAGUAGGCAUUGAAGGCCCCAGGAAUCUUCCAUGGAUAGUCGGCUAUUCUCCUACCUCAAUGGUUGCACAUACGUCUAGGGUUGCAUGUCCGGAGUUUGAAUUAGAGAAGCAUGAGAGGCAGGAAAGCAUGAGAGACACGAGAGGUAGGGAAAUCUAUAGUAGAACGUAUCGGCAACAGUCGGUUUGGUGCCUGGAUCUCCGUUUGCCCGCAUGUCAAGGACCAUCAAGCGGGAGCCCACGCGAUGCAGCGCCAUCCCGCGCAGGAUUCCGUUUGUGCUCGGUUGUCUCGUAGGAGUGGAAUAUGACUUGUAAGCAACAUGUCGG